GCCACAGUCAAAGAUGGAGAAUCCAUGGUGCCACUUUCCCGGUGAUCCCGGUGGGGGAAGGGGUUGCCGCCCGGCAGAGAUUCAGUCCCGAAUCCCGACAGCGAAGAGACUUGUAUGCCACCUGCAGGCCGGGGAGCGGGGCGCGCUGGGGCUGCACCACCCCGAACUUUGUAACAAUCUAGAGCACCACAGAGUGUUUCCAGGUCGGCACAAAAGCGAACGGGACAGGGCGCCCUGGGCGGCGGCAGCUUGGCCGGCCCGCUGCCUAGCGCGCCCCCGAGGGGCGGUAAUGGAACGUACCUUUGGCUGAAGAAAGAGUGCUCCCGGCCAGCGCGGGGUCGCCUAGGGGGUUCCGCGCUGCCUAAUGCAAAGGAUGGAAAAGUUACAGAAGCAGAGAUGGGUUUCAGCAGCCCAGGCUGGUCUCGAACUCCUGGACUCAAGUGAUUGGCCCUCCUCGGCCUCCCAAAGUCCUGGGAUUACAAGCGUGAGCCACCAUGCUCAGUUGGCGGGGGAUUAUCUGUGAUCCAAUGAAGUUGGACUAGAGAUGUGAAGCCUUAGAAAACGGUGGAUUGAAAAAAGAAUUUUAGUCUCCUCCAGAGAUUAUAUUUUGUGUGUUCAUUGCUCUCAAAAACAUGAAAAUAAAGAGUAUUUUAUAUUGUG
rnacentral:lncRNA from 10 species